rnacentral:rRNA from 1 species
GAUGAACGCUGGCGGCGUGCCUAAUACAUGCAAGUCGAGCGAACAGACGAGGAGCUUGCUCCUCUGACGUUAGCGGCGGACGGGUGAGUAACACGUGGAUAACCUACCUAUAAGACUGGGAUAACUUCGGGAAACCGGAGCUAAUACCGGAUAAUAUAUUGAACCGCAUGGUUCAAUAGUGAAAGACGGUUUUGCUGUCACUUAUAGAUGGAUCCGCGCCGCAUUAGCUAGUUGGUAAGGUAACGGCUUACCAAGGCAACGAUGCGUAGCCGACCUGAGAGGGUGAUCGGCGACACUGGAACUGAGACACGGUCCAGACUCCUACGGGAGGCAGCAGUAGGGACUCUUCCGCAAUGGGCGAAAGCCUGACGGAGCAACGCCGCGUGAGUGAUGAAGGUCUUCGGAUCGUAAAACUCUGUUAGUAGGGAAGAACAAAUGUGUAAGUAACUAUGCACGUCUUGACGGUACCUAAUCAGAAAGCCACGGCUAACUACGUG